rnacentral:rRNA from 1 species
AAUAGAUACCCCGGUAGUCCACGCCGUAAACGAUGAGUGCUAAGUGUUAGAGGGUUUCCGCCCUUUAGUGCUGCAGCUAACGCAUUAAGCACUCCGCCUGGGGAGUACGGCCGCAAGGCUGAAACUCAAAGGAAUUGACGGGGGCCCGCACAAGCGGUGGAGCAUGUGGUUUAAUUCGAAGCAACGCAAAGAACCUUACCAGGUCUUGACAUCCUCUGCCAACCCUAGAGAUAGGGCGUUCCCCUUCGGGGGACAGAGUGACAGGUGGUGCAUGGUUGUCGUCAGCUCGUGUCGUGAGAUGUUGGGUUAAGUCCCGCAACGAGCGCAACCCUUGAUCUUAGUUGCCAGCAUUCAGUUGGGCACUCUAAGGUGACUGCCGGUGACAAACCGGAGGAAGGUGGGGAUGACGUCAAAUCAUCAUGCCCCUUAUGACCUGGGCUACACACGUGCUACAAUGGAUGGUACAAAGAGCUGCGAACCCGCGAGGGUAAGCGAAUCUCAUAAAGCCAUUCUCAGUUCGGA